rnacentral:tRNA from 1 species
GCCACCGUAGCUCAGCGGUAGAGCGCUACCCUGGUAAGGUAGAGGUCCCGGGUUCAAAUCCCGGCGGUGGCA